rnacentral:rRNA from 1 species
GAUGAACGCUAGCGGCAGGCCUAACACAUGCAAGUCGAGGGAGAAGCCCUUUCGGGGGCAGAAACCGGCGCACGGGUGCGUAACGCGUAUGCAACCUACCUUUCACAGGGGGAUAGCCCGAAGAAAUUUGGAUUAAUACCCCAUAAUAUUAUUGUAUGGCAUCAUUUGAUAAUUAAAACUGCGGUGGUGAUAGAUGGGCAUGCGUCCUAUUAGCUAGUUGGAGUGGUAACGGCACCCCAAGGCUACGAUAGGUAGGGGUCCUGAGAGGGAGAUCCCCCACACUGGUACUGAGACAGAGACCAGAAUCCGACGGGAGGCAGGAGUGAGGAAUAUUGAUCAAUGGUCGGAAGACUGAACCAGCCAUGCCGCGUGCAGGAAGAAUGCCGUAUGGGUUGUAAACUGCUUUUAUAUAGGAAGAAUAAGGCGUACGUGUACGUUGAUGACGGUACCAUAUGAAUAAGCAUCGGCUAACUCCGUG